CUUCACCACUGCAUCUAUUCUGACGCACAGCAUUCAUCGUGGAAGUAGACACAUCUACUCUGAGUACCAGGGCCUGCUUUAUUUGGUGUUGCCAGACAUGGGCCGAAAUUCAGACUUAGCUUGACUCACGUGAUUCUGCGCUUUCACCAAGGCACCAUGCACCUAACUUCUUGGCAUCUCAGGCCUCUGGAGACCCUGCUCCAUCCAUGGCACCAUUGCCAGGAAUUUCACUCAUUCAAAUGGCCACAUGAUGGAACUGACUCUCAUAGAUCACCUGACCAAGAUGGCGUGCUUCAUCCCUCUGUGCACGAGUACCUUCGGCUGAGAGGACAGAUCAGCUCCACAUUUCCAAAGGCCAAUGACACCUUUGUUUUGCUAUCUCUAGAUUUCCCACUGAUUUCAUGCCACACUACUAAUGGCCUCUCCGAACUUCCCAGCUAUUGAUCUGGGUCAACAAAUCCAUUACAUUCAAGAAGAACGACGGGAGCCCCUCGAGGACACUAGGAAGGAGUCAGAUAUUAUACAGACUGCUGAUGACAAGAGGGAAGCCAUUUGCUGAAGGGAGGUACCAAGUCUCUGGCACUGACCCAAUCCCUAUGCCCCGUCUGUUGGAGCAGUUCCUGACCCAUCCCCCUUGGCUGACCUUCUGAUCCCAUCCUCCUCCCCUGGCUCUAGGGAGCAAAGUCUGGGUCCCUUCCCUCACUCUGGCACAAUCCGUGCCCAAAGGAACCGAGUCCCUCACAGACAAUGAGACUGUCCUUCCUCCUCCUGCUUGUGGGUGGGGGGCUACUACCCCCGUUUUACAGACAGGGAAUGAAGGUGAUGAAGUGACCUCUCCAAAGUCACACCUGGCAAUGUGGAGGAGAUCUGGGAACUGGACUGGGUUAUACAGGAGUGCCCUCCGAACAGAGGCAGCUUCACUUUCUGCCCUUCGUUCUCUCCUCCCCUCGUGGCCCGUCUUCGAUGGGGAUCUCUGAACUGGAAAUGAGCAGGGGCUUCCUCCCGCUCUGUCUUCCAAUGUCUGGGAUCUGUCCACAGCAACGCAGCCUGCAGCUGGCUAGCUUGGGGAGCCAUAGCCUCACCCUGUGAAAUCCAGAAGCGCUGGCUCUCAGUGAUGCUUCGACGGAAAACCACGCACCCCACACAGAGGUUGGAACCAGCCAUUCCCAGGUUGUUCUGAGGAGCCAUGAUUUCUCCAGGAGCUGGGUAAAGGGCACAGUGAGCAGUCUGUCAGAGGAUUCCAGCUGGCUGUUCCAAUCCAGGAUGAAAACUCUGCCACUGAAAUCUCACAGCCUCUGUGCAGUGAAGUGCCACUUAAACCCGCUGUGAUGCACAGAGCUUGCCCUGGCUGUCCGCACAGGACUGAAUUUCACCCCUUCAGAGUGUAUUCGAAGGGCACCCCAUGCUUCAUAUGGGCAUUCUUGGGUGGGCAGAUUGCAUCAGACCUGCACCCGAAUAAAUAAUAGUGAAUGAAAUAUGCAGACACUAAAGUUCUGCAGCCAAAUUCUCAGAAACCUUCCUCUUGAAUGUAGGAUCAGGAUUUUGUUUCUAAUUGAUUUUUUUAAAAAGUGCUAAGCAGCUACUACACUGUAAUAAGAGGAAACAGAAGCAAAAACUGAAAGGCUGUUACUUAAACCAAUGAACAGAUGCAGAGAGUGGAAGCACGGCAAAGCACACCAAUGAAUACUAUGAGUAAAUAACCUGAAAGCAAAUAGGGAAGAAAACCUCAUCUGAGUAAUUGUGGCUCUUGGGACAAAAAUCGGGUUCCUGGAAAAGGAUCCCCAAAGGAGGUGUAAGGAUCCUGGACUCUAAUGUCUGCAAGAAGCUUCAGCCACCUUCACAGGUUAAAGUUCGCCAUCCAUUAGGAGGUGAAGACCAGAUGGGAGCUGCUGGAUUGACCUUGAUAUACCAUGUCCUUGAAUGGAUGAAGGACCUACAUCUCAGGGAUGGCCAGCAGCAGAUGUCACACAUGUGUCCAGGAAUAGGCUAAACAACCUACACUGAUAGAUCUCAGCCGCUCAGCAGAAUGCGGGAGAGCCGAGUGCUGAUGGGCUAGAGGGGUCCCAGGAGUCGCUGUGCAGCCGGUGCAGUGUCUGCAGUCACCAUGGGCCAAACCCUGCGCU